UGGGGAAUAUUGCACAAUGGGGGAAACCCUGAUGCAGCGACGCCGCGUGGAGGAAGAAGGUCUUCGGAUUGUAAACUCCUGUUGUUGGGGAAGAUAAUGACGGUACCCAACAAGGAAGUGACGGCUAACUACGUGCCAGCAGCCGCGGUAAAACGUAGGUCACAAGCGUUGUCCGGAAUUACUGGGUGUAAAGGGAGCGCAGGCGGGAAGACAAGUUGGAAGUGAAAUCUAUGGGCUCAACCCAUAAACUGCUUUCAAAACUGUUUUUCUUGAGUAGUGCAGAGGUAGGCGGAAUUCCCGGUGUAGCGGUGGAAUGCGUAGAUAUCGGGAGGAACACCAGUGGCGAAGGCGGCCUACUGGGCACCAACUGACGCUGAGGCUCGAAAGUGUGGGUAGCAAACAGGAUUAGAUACCCUGGUAGUCCACACCGUAAACGAUGAUUACUAGGUGUUGGAGGAUUGACCCCUUCAGUGCCGCAGUUAACACAAUAAGUAAUCCACCUGGGGAGUACGACCGCAAGGUUGAAACUCAAAGGAAUUGACGGGGGCCCGCACAAGCAGUGGAGUAUGUGGUUUAAUUCGACGCAACGCGAAGAACCUUACCAAGUCUUGACAUCCCUUGACGAUGCUGGAAACAGUAUUUCUCUUCGGAGCAAGGAGACAGGUGGUGCAUGGUUGUCGUCAGCUCGUGUCGUGAGAUGUUGGGUUAAGUCCCGCAACGAGCGCAACCCUUAUGGUCAGUUACUACGCAAGAGGACUCUGGCCAGACUGCCGUUGACAAAACGGAGGAAGGUGGGGAUGACGUCAAAUCAUCAUGCCCUUUAUGACUUGGGCUACACACGUACUACAAUGGCGUUAAACAAAGAGAAGCAAGACCGCGAGGUGGAGCGAAUCUCAAAAAUAACGUCUCAGUUCGGAUUGUAGUCUGCAACUCGACUACAUGAAGCUGGAAUCGCUAGUAAUCGCAGAUCAGAAUGCUGCGGUGAAUACGUUCCC
rnacentral:rRNA from 1 species